GUUUCCGUAGGUGAACUUGUGGAGGAUCAUUG
rnacentral:rRNA from 1 species